GCGGGCGGCGUGCUUAACACAUGCAAGUCGAACGCUGAAGCCCAGCUUGCUGGGUGGAUGAGUGGCGAACGGGUGAGUAACACGUGAGUAMCCUGCCCCCUUCUUUGGGAUAACGCCCGGAAACGGGUGCUAAUACKGGAUAUUCACUGAYYUUSGCAUGGGGGUUGGUGGAAAGGUUUUUCUGGUGGGGGAUGGGCUCSCGGCCUAUCARCUUGUUGGUGGGGUGAUGGCCUACCAAGGCUUUGACGGGUAGCCGGCCUGAGAGGGUGACCGGUCACAUUGGGACUGARAUACSGCCCARACUCCUACSGGAGGCARCAGUGGGGAAUAUUGCACAAUGGGCGAAAGCCUGAUGCARCGACSCCSCGUGAGGGAUGACSGCCUUYGGGUUGUAAACCUYUUUCGCUYAUGGUCAARCCSCAGCUUUGGGGUUGUGGUGAGGGUAGUGGGUAAA
rnacentral:rRNA from 1 species